rnacentral:lncRNA from 1 species
GAGGUGUGGUAGAAAGCUUGCCAAAGAUGGUGAAGUAAGUCCGGCUCUGGUCUGUAUAGUCUGAACUUGCUGAGGAAAUUCUCUCACACUCUUUACUUUUGUGUUUUUGCAGUUUUUCCUAGUAAUAUAUUUAAAAGUGGGCUCACUGUGGUACACAUGCUAACUCAAAAAUCAGUAACUACGUGUUCUUUUUAAAGUAGUUAAGCACAGAGCUCAGAAGUCCGCAGCUCCUGACUACAUGACUGUGCUUGUAGAAGGGCACGGCUUCAGAGGCCCUGUUUAUAUUCUCUGCGCUUGGUGUCCUGAGACAGGGUAAGAGCUGCAGCACUCAGUUCCUCAGCCUUGCUUAGACCUCAGACAGAUGAGAGGCUUGAGUGGGUCCUUCUGCCAUAGAGAAACUGACAUAUAUCGUGUAGGAGGUGAUGCAUAGUCUAAUGAGGUUCUGUUUACAGCUAUCCUUAAUCAAAGUCAUCUGUCCCCUUGGAAUCCUCGCCACACCAGAGAACUGCCAUUGUUCCUUACAUGGAACUAGCACGCAGGUGUGUAGGGAAAAGAAGGACGGUUUACCCUGGUGUCUGCAGAGAACUUGCUCUCUAUUGUAUUAAGUCCAUUAAAUUGACUGUGCAGCCCACCUGUCAUCAUUUCCACCUUCACAUUGCAGCCUAGUUUUCACCUGCUUCUUUUUCUACCAAAUUUACUUCCACUUUGACUUUCAGAGGUUAUUUUAUACUUGCCUUCAGGAUUGUAGUAGGACAGAGAAGCGGUUGUCUUUUCCAUCCUGCCUCUUGUUGCUUCAUCCCUCAAUAGACUGCAGCUCUUUCAAAACAGAUGUGUCACCACCUGCCAGCUAUCCUGUCACUGUCACCCACAGGGCUCGGUCUCUCUUCACUGCUCUUGCUCACAGGCCUGUCUGCUUCAACAUCUGUAUCGCCUUUAGAAAUCUCCAUCUCAAGUGUCCUGUUUACAACGUCCACCUCUUUCUCCUUCUAGCCCUCUCUUCUAGAGCUUGAACAUAGUUUCUACCCCAUUGAGUCCCACAGUCUGCUCUUCUUUCUUUCCUCUCACUUUUUUUGUCAGCUCAUUAAUUCUUCUUGACUAGUAUUUUGUUCCGUCUUAAAACCGUUCCCUGUGUAAACCAUUCUCUUGUGUAUAUUCAGUUUCCUUUUCUUUUCCCACUUUGAAUGCUGUCGGACUAUUCAUCCCAGCACAGCAAGUUCCAAUACCUAUACUCUCCGAAUGAGUAUCUAAAUUAGGCUAAAAUUUGUUUAGAGGUCUACCUUAGUUAGGUUUUCUGUUGCCGUGAUAAACACUGUGACUAAAAGCAGCGUGGGGAGGACAGGGUUUAUUACUGUUGUAGAUUAUAGUCCAUCACUGAAGGAAGGCAGGGCAGGAACUCAAGUAGACCAGGAACGUGGAGGCAGGAGCAGUGAUGCAGAGACCAUGGAGGGAUGCUGCUUACUGGCUUGUUCCCCGUGGCGUGCUCAACCCACCCUCUUACAGAACACAGGACCACCAGCCCAGGGAUGAUACCACCCACAUCGUGUAACUUCCCACAUCAAUCCCGAGUGCUGGGAUUAAAUUUGUGUUCCAUCAGCACCACUGACUUUGAUUCCUGAUCCCAUUUGAUCACUGCAAAGCCUGCA